GCGGAGGGAUCAUUACUGAGUGAGGGCCUUCGGGCUCGACCUCCAACCCUUUGUGAACACAACUUGUUGCUUCGGGGGCGACCCUGCCGUUUCGACGGCGAGCGCCCCCGGAGACCAUCAAACACUGCAUCUUUGCGUCGGAGUUUAAGUAAAUUAAACAAAACUUUCAACAACGGAUCUCUUGGUUCUGGCAUCGAUGAAGAACGCAGCGAAAUGCGAUAAGUAAUGUGAAUUGCAGAAUUCAGUGAAUCAUCGAAUCUUUGAACGCACAUUGCGCCCUUUGGUAUUCCGAAGGGCAUGCCUGUUCGAGCGUCAUUUCACCACUCAAGCCUGGCUUGGUAUUGGGCGCCGCGGUCAAUCCGCGCGCCUCAAAGUCUCCGGCUGAGCUGUCCGUCUCUAAGCGUUGUGAUUUCAUUAAUCGCUUCGGAGUGCGGGCGGCCGCGGCCGUGAAAUCUUUCACAAGGUUGACCUCGGAUCAGGUAGGGAUACCCGCUG
rnacentral:rRNA from 1 species